AGCGGGAAAAGCUCAAAUUUAAAAUCUGGCAGACUUUGUCUGUCCGAGUUGUAACCUAGAGAAGUGUAACCUGUGCUGGACCAUGUACAAGUCUCCUGGAAUGGAGCAUCACAGAGGGUGAGAAUCCCGUCUUUGACAUGGACUACCAGUACACUGUGGUUGCACACUCAACGAGUCGAGUUGUUUGGGAAUGCAGCUCUAAAUGGGUGGUAAAUUCCAUCUAAAGCUAAAUAUUGGCGAGAGACCGAUAGUGAACAAGUACCGUGAGGGAAAGAUGAAAAGAACUUUGGAAAGAGAGUUAAACAGUAUGUGAAAUUGUUGAAAGGGAAACGCUUGAAGUCAGCUGUGUUGGCUGGGGAUCAAGCCAGCUUAUUUGCUGGGUGUACUUCCUGGUUGACGGGUCAACAUCAGUUUUGACCAUCAGAGAAAGGCAAAGGGAAUGUGGCACCUUUUAGGUGUGUUAUAGCCCUUUGUUGUAUGUGGUGGUUGGGACUGAGGACAGCAGCGUGCCAUAUGGCCGGGUUUAGACCACGUUCACGCUUUGGAUGUUGGCAUAAUGGCUUUAAGCGACCCGUCUUGAAACACGGACCAAGGAGUCUAACAUGCAUGCAAGUGUUUGGGUGGAAAACCCGAGCGCGUAAUGAAAGUGAAAGUUGAGAUCCCUGUCACGGGGGAGCAUCGACGCCCGGACCAGAACUUUUGGGACGGAUCUGCGGUAGAGCAAGCAUGUUGGGACCCGAAAGAUGGUGAACUAUGCCUGAAUAGGGUGAAGCCAGAGGAAACUCUGGUGGAGGCUCGUAGCGAUUCUGACGUGCAA
rnacentral:rRNA from 1 species